GACGAACGCUGGCGGCCUGCUUAACACAUGCAAGUCGAACGGAACCGCCAUACGUUUGUGGUGUUCACGGGUGGGAAUCGUGUCAGUCACACGCCUGUAACCUAACCUACCCUUUGGGGUAACUUCCCGAAACUCUACAUAACCCCAGAUAGGACCGCCAGCCUCGUCGUGAGCUCCGGAACGUUUGGGCUGGCGAGGCUGUACUCCCGCCUCAUCAACUUGCUGGUGGGGUAGUUGCUUACCCAGGCUUUGACGGGUAGCCGGCCUGAGAGGGUGACCGGCCACCUUGGGACUGCGAUACGGCCCAGACUCCUACGGGAGGCAGCAGUGGGGAAUCUUCCACAAUGGGCGGACGCCUGAUGCAGCAACGCCGCGUGCGGGAUGACGGCCUUCGGGUUGUAAACCGCUUCCGCCUGUGACGAAGCGUGAGUGACGGUAAUGGGUAAAGAAGCACCGGCUAACUACGUG
rnacentral:rRNA from 1 species